CUCUCUGUAGCUCAGUUGGUAGAGCAGCUGACUCUUAAUCAGCGGGUCACAGGUUCGAGUCCUGUCAGGGAGA
rnacentral:tRNA from 1 species